rnacentral:rRNA from 1 species
CAGUCGCCACGGUAAUACGUAGGAUGCGAGCGUUAAUCGGAAUUACUGGGCGUAAAGCGUGCGCAGGCGGUUCGUUAAGACAGAUGUGAAAUCCCCGGGCUUAACCUGGGAACCGCAUUUGUGACUGGCAAGCUAGAGUAUGGCAGAGGGGGGUAGAAUUCCACGUGUAGCAGUGAAAUGCGUAGAGAUGUGGUGGAAUACCGAUGGCGAAGGCAGCCCCCUGGGCCAAUACUGACGCUGAGGAGCGAAAGCGUGGGGAGCGAACAGAAUUAGAUACCCGAGUAGUCCCUGUCUCUUAUAC